GACUACAGGGGUAUCUAAUCCUGUUUGCUCCCCACGCUUUCGUGCCUCAGCGUCAGGACAUGCCCAGCUGCGCGUCUUCACCAUCGGCAUUCCAGUAGAUAUCUACGCAUUUCACCGCUCCACCUACUGUUCUCGCAGCCCCUACAUGCCUCAAGAUCCGCAGUUCGCCCUGCUGUUCCUCAGUUGAGCUGAGGUAUUUCACAAGACGCUUGCAGACCCGCCUACGCACCCUUUAAGCCCAGUGAUUCCGACUAACGCUUGUGGCCUCUGUAUUACCGCGACUGCUGGCACAGAGUUAGUCGCCACUUCCUUUGGGGUCGAUCAUUGUUUCCAACCCCUGACAGUAGUUUACACGUCAGAGACGCUUCAUCCUACACGCGGCAUUGCUCCGUCAGGCUUGCGCCCAUUGCGGAAGAUUCCUUACUGCAGCCCCCCGUAGG
rnacentral:rRNA from 1 species